CCCGAGGUAGUCAAAACAACAUAACCCCAAAGACGACACCCAAAGGGCUGGUCUGAGCUAGAACAGUCCCUCCUCCCAGAAUUGGUUCAGACGCAUGGAACCAGUGCCUAGCUCUCUGGUCUCACUCCCCUUCUGCCACACUAGGAAGCCCAUUUUGAACAUCUUAAGAGUCUUCCUUCCUCUCGAGUCCCCAUAAUUAGCCAGGUGGAGCCCCUAGCCAAGCUGCUUUCCUUGUUUCUCUUUCAACUGAUGCUCAGAGUCAAGGGAAACUCCUUCCCCACUAUGGGCAAGCAGGCACUCUGCUGGGUAGCCCUCUGCCUUCUUGCAGCAGAAACCACACGUGGUGGCGUUACUCAGACACCCAAGUUCCUGAUCGGACGGCAAGGGCAGAGACUGACCUUCGAAUGCAAACAGGACUUUAAUCAUGAUACCAUGUACUGGUACCGGCAGGAUCCAGGCAAAGGAUUGUCAUUGAUCUACUAUUCAAUAACUGAAAAAGAUAUCCAGAAAGGGGACCUAUCUGAAGGCUAUGAAGUCUCUCGAGAGAAGAAGCUAUUUUUUCCUCUCACUUUGACAUCUGCUCAGAAGAACCACAUGGCUGUCUAUCUCUGUGCCAGCAGCAUAGCACAGUGGAGCACAGUCCCCUCCUCUCUAUGCAUGAAUGUGCACCGGUUCUGCUCCCCCUACCAGGUGGCUCUUGGGUCCUUCCCCCCAAUCUCUGUGCUUUAA